UUAUUUUGGCGUAGGCCCCAUCCGUAGCGUGGAUCUGAAGUUUGGAGAUACCAGCUAAUCCUGCCGAAGACGAAGGCAGGGCGGAGCCUACCCCAAAAGAAAGAAGAAUGUAAUACGCACCAGAUGAAGUAUUUCUUAGAGGAUCCUGGAACAUGAACGAAAGAGAUAAAUUGAGAUAAUUAGCCAGACAUAAAAAUACAACAUCAGAUUAUAGCUAAAGUAUUAGCUUAUAUGGCAAUGAAGAUAGACCACAGAGCCUUUGAGAGAGGCCACGAUAGGCCGGACAGUGAGGCAGAGAGACAGGCCACGAUAGGCCGGACAGUGAGGCAGAGAGACAGGCCACGAUAGGCCGGACAGUGGGAACGGCCCCGGCGGGCCACAGUGGGAACGGCCCCGGCGGGCCACAAAAAGAAAGCCACGAAGGCCUCAGAGAAAAGGCCUAGCUAGCCCGCAGAGGAGGAUGUCCAAAUUGACCAUAGUGAGAAAGCCAAGAGGCCGUAGAAUGAAGUGAAAUGCAGUAUGCACAGAGAGGAAGGCCAUGUAAUUAGACCACGGUGGGAACACCACGAGAUGGGUAACAGAGGGGAAGGCUACGAAAGACGGGCCACAAAAAGAAAGAACAAGUUAAGCCACAGUAAUCAGAGGUUGUUGGGAGUAAUAUGAAGAGGAAUUGUACCACCACCAUUAUUUGCAUAUAGAUUACCUUGAGGACAGCUUGAUAUACCUUAAGAUGUUUAGUAUUUCAGGUCUAAUGUGGAAUUCCAAUGCGGAGGAUGACCAUCUUCCCAGUAGCUUCAUAUCUGAUGUUUGUACUCCGAGUUCAACAGCAUUAGUGACCAGUGUACAGAAGCGGUGACAGACCGCAGCUUCUAAACGUGACUACAUUGAGCUGAACCAGCCGCAGAGACAAAGGCCCCGAUAGGCCGUGAAAGAACGCUACAAGAGGCCGUAGAGAGUAUAGCUGCUAAGGCCAUGACGGAAGCCUGCGAGAAGCUGUGGAAGAGUAAAUGUAAUGAAUAGGUGUAACACCACCACCACCAGUAUUUGCUUAAUUUACCUUAAACACACGCGUUACAUUACGUUGAUGGGCAAUGUACUUUUCUUUAAGCUAUGUGAUGUGAAAGCCUUGUGUAGAUGACAACGAUAGACCAUUGUGUGUGAAAAACCAUGAUAAACUGGACAUGGGGAGCAUGUGAGAAGUAGUCACCGCCAGUAGUUUGCUGUACCUAUACUGUACCUUGAGCAUUACGUGAAUAAAGUCUGAUCUUGACGGACAUCCAAUGAGGAGGAUCAUGAACAUAGCAGCCUGAAGGCAAAUUACAGGAAUUCUAAACCACCUCACUGAGAAGGUGAUUAGGUUAAUUGAUAAGAGGUAGAAUUAGGGUUCUAGCAGACAUAAGAGCAUAUACACAGAUACAAUUCUUUAGGCUAGACUCCUGCGCACUCUUGAUAAAACUCCAUCUAACUGCCAGAAACUGCAGAGCAACCUAUCCU
ensembl:lncRNA